rnacentral:rRNA from 1 species
AUGGUCAAGGACAUGGACUAUCCAGAAAUGGCAAAGAUGGAUUUCUGCGAGGUAAUCGUCGAAAGUAUUAAGGAAGGAGCCAAGAUAUGGCAGAAGCACAGGAUGUUGCCUCAGGAAGAAAAGAACAAAAAGCAUAUCAAUGGUUUGGCACAGGGACUAGUAAUCAUGUACCUCGACUCCCUGUUGCUGCCAACCGACACAAAAGAAAUGCGGAAGAUUGCAAAGACAAUGGACAAGACCUCAUUACCACGAGCAAACCAUCUCAAAGAGAGUGACCUAGCGAAAAUAGCUAGAGCAGACAUGAAAAGGGACGGAAAAGCACGACCAGAUGACUAUGAAUUUGGCAAGAUACAGAUAGCAGGAGAACAUCGUAAACAACAGCAACACCAGCACACGACCAAACUGGUACCACCUCCACCCAAGCGCCGGCGUGAACCACGUGUCGGCACCAGUGGAAGCAGGGAACCAAACAAAAGCAUCAGCACAGGACCAGAAGAAAGAUUCCAAAGGAUAAAGAAAUUGUUGGAAAAAGUGCUCCAUGAAGCAGAACAACUACCCGCAGUAACCACCAGGGCUGAACACCAAUGCAACGAAAAAGAGGAGAGAUUGGAUGAAAAAACAAGAACUCAGUCGUGCAACAAACAAUGGCCCUAUGGAUUCUUUACAACAACUCAGAGAAUUUUAGGACAUAGUUUGCACAAGGUACCUGACAAACAACGCGACCCUGCAGACACUAGAGCAAGCAGAUCCAGCAGCCUCAAGUAG